UCCAGACUCCUACGGGAGGCAGCAGUGGGGGAUAUUGCACAAUGGGGGGAACCCUGAUGCAGCGACGCCGCGUGGGUGAAGAAGCGCCUCGGCGCGUAAAGCCCUGUCAGCAGGGAAGAAAAUGACGGUACCCAAGGAAUAAGCCCCGGCUAACUACGUGCCAGCAGCCGCGGUAAUACGUAGGGGGCAAGCGUUGUUCGGAAUGACUGGGCGUAAAGGGUGUGUAGGCGGUGUAGCAAGUUAGAAGUGAAAUACCUAGAGCUUAACUCAGGUGCUGCUUCUAAAACUGCUAUACUUGAGUGCAGUAGAGGAAAGUGGAAUUCCUAGUGUAGCGGUGGAAUGCGUAGAUAUUAGGAGGAACAUCAGUGGCGAAGGCGACUUUCUGGACUGUAACUGACGCUGAGGCACGAAAGUGUGGGGAGCAAACAGGAUUAGAUACCCCUGUAUUC
rnacentral:rRNA from 1 species